rnacentral:lncRNA from 1 species
CUUUGCUGAAUGGGUGUGGGCAGCAAACCCAUGCAGAGGCUGUUAGUAAUCCUCACAGGCUCUGAUGUGGUCACACUGAACCGGAGACUUUGUGUUAUAUGUGAAUGCAUUGGCUUUACUUUCUAAUAUUUGGCUGGCUUUGUAAACCAUCUUCCUUUCUCCCCGCUCUUGUUUUCUCUCAUGAAGGCACCAUUUCUUGUUGGUUUUGGACUGUUUUUGUGACUAGAGAAGAAUGUAGGCUUCUCAGAAGCACAUGAGCUGUUUUGCUCUUCAGUAGUGUCCCUGCUCUGCUCAUAGACAGAGGAGAGCUGGGUGGACAGGAUCAGUCAGGAGGCUAAGGACAGGCAUGAAAGAAAGCCUCUGAAGCAGGAUGGAGUGGCAGAAAGGCUGCUUUUUCUCAAGGGAUCUGUGAAAUGAGGCAAUCCUGCUGUCAUUUCUGCAGCAGGGACUUGCUAGGGAAUAGGAAGUAAAUGGAGUGUCUUGUGGAGAUGCCUUGUAGGGAGAGCUGACUGCCAGCCAAAAACCCAUCCAGCUACAAAAGCAGCUGUUUCAGCCCAAAGAAUGUUUUGGUUGCAGUUAGCUGUGCUGUGCCCUGCAUCAGCCUCCAGAGAGCCUGUGUCACAGGACAGGAGACCUUUCAGCUGGAGAAGUCAGCCACUGUUCAAGCUUGACCCAGAUUCUGAGCAGGAAGAGCCCCUGCGUGCAGCAGAGAACAAAGCCCGAGGAUUCCCGAGGUCUCCAUUGAUGCAGAAGGACCGAGCGGAACGUGAAAGAGAUAAGAGAGACGCAGCAAGAUCCUCCCCCACCGCUGCCCCUCCCUCGCCCUCCGAUUCAAGGAGCAGGGGCUGGUUUGUGAAUGAGGAGCCGGAGCUCGUUCAGACGGAACAAAUACCAAUAAAGGAGCACAAUAGCAGCUGCUCCCGAGCCGGAGCCCGCUAGGAAAAGGUAGCAGCUCUCAAGAGGGGGCUGAUUUCCCCAGGAGUCAUUGGUGCGUGACAGAUGGAAG